GGGGAAUCUUCCGCAAUGGACGAAAGUCUGACGGAGCAACGCCGCGUGAGUGAAGAAGGUUUUCGGACCGUAAAACUCUGUCAUUUAGGGCGAACGUAUUGCUGGUGAACAAUCAGCGAUAGUGACGGUACUAAAGGAGGAAGCCACGGCUAACUACGUGCCAGCAGCCGCGGUAAUACGUAGGUGGCGAGCGUUGUCCGGAAUUAUUGGGCGUAAAGCGCGCGUAGGCGGGAUAGUCAGUCUGUUGUAAAAGUGCGGGGCUCAACCCCGUAAGGUCAAUGGAAACUGCUAUUCUUGAGUGCAGGAGAGGAAAGUGGAAUUCCCAGUGUAGCGGUGAAAUGCGUAGAUAUUGGGAGGAACACCAGUGGCGAAGGCGACUUUCUGGACUGUGUCUGACGCUGAGGCGCGAAAGCCAGGGGAGCGAAC
rnacentral:rRNA from 1 species